AACGCAUCUUGCGCUCCUUGGUAUUCCGAGGAGCAUGCCUGUUUGAGUGUCAUUAAAUUCUCAACUCUCUUAUACUUUGUUGUAGAAGAGGGCUUGGAUUGUGGAGGCUUGCUGGCCACUUGCUGGGGUCAGCUCCUCUGAAAUGCAUUAGCGGAACCGUUUGCGAUCUGCCACAAGUGUGAUAAAUUAUCUACACUGGCGAGGGGAUUGCUCUCUGUUGUUCAGCUUCCAAUCGUCUCAGGACAAUUUUUCUGAAUGCUUGACCUCAAAUCAGGUAGGACUACCCGCUGAACUUAA
rnacentral:misc_RNA from 1 species